GAUGAACGCUGGCGGCGUGCCUAAUACAUGCAAGUCGAGCGAACGGACGAGAAGCUUGCUUCUCUGAUGUUAGCGGAGGACGGGUGAGUAACGCGUGGAUACCCUACCUAUCAGACUGGGAAAACUUCGGGAAACGGGAGAUAAUCCCGGAUAAUAUUUUGAACCGCAUGGUGCAAAAGUGAAAGACGGUGUUGGUGGCACUAAUCGCUGGAUCCGCGCUGCAUUAGCUAGUUGGUAAGGUAAAGGCUUAUGAAGGGGAGGAGGCAUAUCCGACCUGAGGGGGUGAUAGGCCACACUGGAACGUGGACACGCUCCUGGCGCCUACGAGAGGCACCAGUAGCGAAUCUUCCGCAAUAGUCGAAAGCCUGGCGGAGCGGCGCCGCGUGAGUGAUGGAGGUCUUCGGAUCGUAAAACCCUGUUAUUAGGGAAGAACAUAUGUGUAAGGAGCUGUGCACAGCGUGACGGUACCUAAUCAGAAAGCCCCGGCUAACUACGUG
rnacentral:rRNA from 1 species